rnacentral:rRNA from 1 species
GACGAACGCUGGCGGCGUGCUUAACACAUGCAAGUCGUACGGUAAGGCCCUUUCGGGGGUACACGAGUGGCGAACGGGUGAGUAACACGUGAGUAACCUGCCCACAACUUUGGGAUAACGCUAGGAGACUGGUGCUAAUACUGGAUAUGUGCUCCUGCUGCAUGGUGGGGGUUGGAAAGCUCCGGCGGUUGUGGAUGGACUCGCGGCCUAUCAGCUUGUUGGUGGGGUAGUGGCCUACCAAGGCGGCGACGGGUAGCCGGCCUGAGAGGGUGACCGGCCACAUUGGGACUGAGAUACGGCCCAGACUCCUACGGGAGGCAGCAGUGGGGAACAUUGCACAAUGGGCGCAAGCCUGAUGCAGCAACGCCGCGUGCGGGAUGACGGCCUUCGGGUUGUAAACCGCUUUCAGCAGGGACGAAGCUUUUUGUGACGGUACCUGCAGAAGAAGCACCGGCUAACUACGUG